rnacentral:tRNA from 1 species
AUCGGCAUAGCUCAGUUGGUCAGAGCACUGGUCUCCAAAACCAGGUGUCGGGGGUUCGAAUCCCUCUGCCGAUG